GAUGAACGCUGGCGGCGUGCUUAACACAUGCAAGUCGAACGGGAAACCUUUUAAUGAAGCUUCGGCAGAUUUAGCUGGUUUCUAGUGGCGGACGGGUGAGUAACGCGUGGGUAACCUGCCUUAUACAGGGGGAUAACAGUCAGAAAUGACUGCUAAUACCGCAUAAGCGCACAGGACCGCAUGGUCCGGUGUGCAAAACUCCGGUGGUAUAAGAUGGACCCGCGUUGGAUUAGCUUGUUGGUGGGGUAACGGCUCACCAAGGCGACGAUCCAUAGCCGGCCUGAGAGGGUGAACGGCCACAUUGGGACUGAGACACGGCCCAGACUCCUACGGGAGGCAGCAGUGGGGAAUAUUGCACAAUGGGGGAAACCCUGAUGCAGCGACGCCGCGUGAAGGAAGAAGUAUCUCGGUAUGUAAACUUCUAUCAGCAGGGAAGAUAGUGACGGUACCUGACUAAGAAGCCCCGGCUAACUACGUG
rnacentral:rRNA from 1 species